CAUCUAUCAACCAUGGCCUUGAUUGACUUCGAGAACAUGGCUUGGAGUUUGGGGGCCUGCUGGCGGACCUCGGUCGUCAGCUCUCCUGAAAUGUAUUAGCGAUAGUCGAGCAUAAUGGGUCCCUAACAUGCACGGCCUUUUUCGACGUGAUAAUGAUCGUCGUCGGGGCUGGAGUGGUUUGGAUUCACGAAGUUUCGCUUCCAAUCCCUAGUGCUGUUUUCAUUAACACACGUUUUCGAACCA
rnacentral:misc_RNA from 1 species